rnacentral:rRNA from 1 species
AGAGUUUGAUCAUGGCUCAGAAUCAACGCUGGCGGCGCGCCUAACACAUGCAAGUCGAACGAGAAAGGGGAGCAAUCCCUGAGUACAGUGGCGUACGGGUGAGUAACACGUGGAUGAUCUACCCCUUAGUUUGGAAUAACCCUGGGAAACCGGGGCUAAUACCGGAUAAGCACGAGAGUGGAAAGCAGCAAUGCGCUGAGGGAGGAGUCCGCGGCCGAUUAGCUAGUUGGUAGGGUAAAAGCCUACCAAGGCAAAGAUCGGUAGCCGGCCUGAGAGGGCACACGGCCACACUGGCACUGAAACACGGGCCAGACUCCUACGGGAGGCAGC